rnacentral:misc_RNA from 1 species
GAUGAAGAACGCAGCAAAAUGCGAUAAGUAAUGUGAAUUGCAGAAUUCAGUGAAUCAUCGAAUCUUUGAACGCACAUUGCGCCCGCCAGUAUUCUGGCGGGCAUGCCUGUUCGAGCGUCAUUUCAACCCUCAAGCACAGCUUGGUGUUGGGACUCGCGUUAAUUCGCGUUCCUCAAAUUGAUUGGCGGUCACGUCGAGCUUCCAUAGCGUAGUAGUAAAACCCUCGUUACUGGUAAUCGUCGCGGCCACGCCGUUAAACCCCAACUUCUGAAUGUUGACCCCGGAUCAGGUAGGAAUACCCGCUGAACUUAAGCAUAUCAAUAAGCGGAGGA